rnacentral:tRNA from 9 species
AGGCGCUUAGCUCAGUCGGUAGAGCGUCGGUCUCCAAAACCGAAGGUCGUAGGUUCGAUCCCUACAGCGCCUGCCA